rnacentral:ncRNA from 1 species
ACAAGGGGAGCUGAUGUGUUCGGCUGAGAGGGAAAUGUAAAGUUCCGACCCGUAAACCUGAUCCGGGUAAUGCCGGCGUAGGAAGCAGA